UACGUAGGGUGCAAGCGUUGUCCGGAAUUAUUGGGCGUAAAGAGCUCGUAGGCGGUCUGUCGCGUCUGCUGUGAAAACUCAGGGCUUAACCCUGAGCUUGCAGUGGGUACGGGCAGACUAGAGUGCGGUAGGGGAGACUGAAAUUCCUGGUGUAGCGGUGAAAUGCGCAGAUAUCAGGAGGAACACCGGUGGCGAAGGCGGGUCUCUGGGCCGGAACUGACGCUGAGGAGCGAAAGCGUGGGGAGCGAACAGG
rnacentral:rRNA from 1 species